rnacentral:tRNA from 1 species
GGUUUCGUAGUGUAGUGGUUAUCAUGUCUGCUUUACACGCAGAAGGUCCCCGGUUCGAGCCCGGGCGAAACCA